rnacentral:rRNA from 1 species
UACGUAGGGUGCAAGCGUUGUUCGGAAUGACUGGGCGUAAAGCGCGCGUAGGCGGGCUUGUAAGUCGGCUGUGAAAUCCCCGGGCUUAACCUGGGAAUUGCGGUCGAAACUACAAGUCUUGAAUACCUGAGAGGGUGGCAGAAUUCCGGGUGUAGUAGUGAAAUACGUAGAUAUCCGGAGGAAUACCAGAGGCGAAGGCGGCCACCUGGUGGUGUAUUGACGCUGAAGUGCGAAAGCGUGGGGAGCAAAC